rnacentral:rRNA from 1 species
CCUACGGGAGGCAGCAGUGGGGAAUAUUGGGCAAUGGGCGCAAGCCUGACCCAGCAAUGCCGCGUGAAGGAAGAAGGCUUUCGGGUUGUAAACUUCUUUGACAGGGGAAAAGCAGAAGACGGUACCCUGAAAACAAGCUACGGCUAACUACGUGCCAGCAGCCGCGGUAAUACGUAGGUGGCAAGUGUUGUCCGGAUUUACUGGGUGUAAAGGGCGUGUAGCCGGGAAGGCAAGUCAGAUGUGAAAUCUGGAGGCUCAACCUCCAAAUUGCAUUUGAAACUGUUUUUCUUGAGUACGGGAGAGGCAGACGGAAUGCGUUGUGUAGCGGUGAAAUGCGUAGAUAUAAGGAGGAACACCAGUGGCGAAGGCGGUCUGCUGGACCGCAACUGACGGUGAGGCGCGAAAGCGUGGGGAGCAAACAGGAUUAGAUACCCCUGUAGUC